CUGGUUGAUUCUGCCAGUGGUCAUAUGCUCGUCUCAAAGAUUAAGCCAUGCAUGUCUAAGUUCAAAUCGUUUAGCGAUGAAACUGCGAAGCGCUCAGUAAAUCAGUUAUAGUCUAUUCGAUAAUAUAAGCCAUGGAUAACUGUGGUAAAUCUAUAGCUAAUACAUAGCAAAUCCCGGACUUGUUCCGGGAGCAUUUAUUAGUAAACCAAAACAUUUGGUGAAUCUAGAUAACUUUGCAUAUCGUAUGGCGCAAGCCAGCGAUAGUUCGAUCGAAUUUCUGCUCUAUUAACUAGUUGGUGAGGUAGUGGCUCACCAAGGUUGUAAUGGAUAACGGGGAAUUAGGGUUCGAUUCCGGAGAGGGAGCCUGAGAAACGGCUACCACAUCUAAGGAAGGCAGCAGGCGCGCAAAUUACCCAAUCCAGACAUUGGGAGGUAGUGACGAGAAAUAGCGGAGUUGACCUAAUGGUUGACUACCGGAAUGRACGUGAUUUAAUACCUUCGUUGAGUAUCUAUUGGAGGGCAAGUCUGGUGCCAGCAGCCGCGGUAAUUCCAGCUCCAAUAGUGUAUAUUAAAAUUGCUGCAGUUAAAAAGCUCGUAGUUGAAUUACARAGUUUUGGUGAUGUGUCAGUAUCUUACGCAAGUGAGAUGUUGUACUAGACCAGUUCUUUUUAUCACAAGAGCCAUUUAUGAAAUUAAGUUUUUGUAGAUGGUCACUUGUGGAGUGUGCCUUGAAUAAAGCAAAGUGCUCAARGCAAGCGUAUGCUCGAAUGUAAUAGCAUGGUACGAAUAUAUAAAAUCAAAUCAGUUGGUUGCUGACUUGGUCUCGAUUAAAAGGGACACUUGAGGGCGUUAGUACUUGAUGGCGAGAGGUGAAAUUCUUAGACCCAUCAAAGACUCACAAAUGCGAAAGCAUUCGCCAAGACUGUUUUCAUUAAUCAAGAACGAAAGUUGGAGGUUCGAAGACGAUCAGAUACCGUCGUAGUUCCAUACAGUAAACUAUGCUAUCUUGAAAUUAGCAUGUAGUUAAUGCAUGUUAGUGUCUCCGCGAAAGCUUAAGUUUUUGAGCUCUGGGGGGAGUACGGUCGCAAGGUUUAAACUUAAAGUAAUUGACGGAAGGGCACCACCAGGAGUGGAGCCUGCGGCUUAAUUUGACUCAACACGGGGCAACUCACCAGGUCCGGACAUUGAAAGGAUUGACAGACUGACAGAUUUUUCAUGAUACAAUGAUUGGUGGUGCAUGGCCGUUCUUAGUUGGUGGAGUGAUCUGUCAGGUUAAUUCCGGURACGAGCGAGACCACAAUCUCUAAUUCAUUACAGUUGCAUUCUUGUUGUAACUGAUCUUAGAGAGACUACUGAGUUCAACUCAGGGGAAGUGUGGCAAUAACAGGUCUGUGAUGCCCUUCGAUGUUCUGGGCUGCACGCGCGCUACAAUGGCAGCAACAAAAAGUACCUAACUUGAGAGAGUCGGGUAAACUUGCAAUUGCUGUCAUGAUUGGGAUUGAGCCUUGUAAUUAUUGCUCAUGAAAGUGGAAUUCCUCGUAAGCGCGAGUCAUAAACUCGUGUUGAAUACGUCUCUGCCCUUUGUACACACCGCCCGUCGCUAGUACCG
rnacentral:rRNA from 1 species